CUUGAUUCUAAUCUCCUAUAAAUUGUAGGAGGAAUUUUUAUUCAAAUUCUAUUACCUAAAAAAGAAUUGUGUUACUCUUUGUAGUUCCAAGUAUUUGGGUAGAGAAAGGAGGUGAAAAGUAAUUGUGUGAUACAGUCACAGGAUUUUACUCUGUGAAGUAUGGGCCUAUUUAGAGCAAGGCCAGGUGGUUUAAUUCUUACUUAAGGAAGCAUAUAUCAUUUGAGUUCUUGUGUUUUUCAAUUACUUGUUUCUUAUAAAUGUGGAAUUUAAAAUGUUGUUUCUCUUACAAAUACAUUUGAGGCCUAUUUAGUACCCCAGGCUAAAAUAUCUGACAUCUAGUAGGAAAUAAUUGGGUUUUUGUUUUUACUCUUUUGUGCUUUUUGAUUAUUUCUUUUGUCAUAUUGAACAUGAUUCGGUGAGUAGAAUAGGAAAAUGUGGAUUAUCAUUUGAAUGAUAAAGAAGUGAGAUUUCUAUUUUAUUUUACUUUCGUUUUUUAAAUUUAAAUCCAAGUUAGUUAACAUAUAGUAUAAUAAUGAUUUCAGGAAUAGAUUUUAGUGAUUCGUCACUUACAUAUAACACCAGUGCUCAUCCCAGCAAGUGUCCUCCUUGAUGUCCCUUGCUCAUGUAGUUCAUUACCCCACCCAACACCCUUCCAGCAACCCUCAGUUCUCUGUAUUUACGAGUCUCUUAUGGUUUGUCUCCCUCUCUGUUUUUAUAUUAUUUUUGCUUCCCUUCCCUUAUGUUCAUCUGUUUUGUAUCUUAAAUUCUACAUGUGAGUGAAAUCAUAUAUUUGUCUUUCUCUGACUUACUUUGCUUAGCAUAAUACGCUCUAAUUCCUUCCAUGUUGUUACAAAUGGCAAGAUUUCAUUCUUUUUGAUCACUGACUAAUAUUCCAUUGUGUGUGUGUGUGUGUGUGUGUGUGUGUGUGUGUGUGUAUACAUACAUACCACAUCUUUAUCCAUUCAUCAGUAGAUGGACAUUUUGGCUCUUUCCAUACUUUGGCUAUUGUCAAUAUCACUGCUACAAACAUUGGGGUGCAUGUGCCCCUUCAAAACAGCACUCCUGUAUCCUUUGGAUAAAUACCUAGCAGUACAAUUGCUGGGUUAUAGGUAGUUCUAUUUUUAAUUUUUUGAGGAAACUCCAUACUGUUUUCCAGAGUGCCUACACCAGUUUGCAUUCCCACCAGCAGUACAAAAGAGAUCCUCUCUCUCUCUGCAUCCUUGCCAACAUCUGUUGUUGCCUGAGUUGUUAAUGUGAGCCAUUCUGACAGUUGUGAGGUGGUAUCUCAUUGUGGUUUUGAUUUGUAUUUCCCUGAUGAUGAAUGAUGUUGAGCAUCUUUUCAUGUGUCUGUUAGACAUCUGGAUGUAUUCUUUGGAAAAGUGUCUAUGUCUUUUGCCCAUUUCUUCACUGGAUUACAUGGUUUUUGGGUGUUGAGUUUGACAAUUUCUUUAUAGACUUUGUAUACUAAUCCUUUAUCUGAUAUGUCAUUUGCAAAUAUCUUCUCUCAUUUUGUUGGCUGCCUUUUAGUUUUGCUGAUUGUUUCCUUUACUGUGCAGAGAGGUCCAAAUAGUUCAUUUUUGCUUUUGUUUCCCUUGCCUCUGGAGACAUGUCAAGUAAGAAGUUGCUGUGGCCACUGUGAAGGAGGUUGUUGCCUGUUUUCUCCUCUAGGAUUUUGAUGGUUUCCUGCCUCAUGUUUAGAUCUUUCAUCCAUUUUGAGUUUAUUUUUGUGUAUGGAGUAAGAAAAUAGUCCAGGUUCAUUCUUCUGCAUGUUGCUGUUCAGUGUUUCCAACACCCAUUUGCUGAAGAGACUGUCUUUAUUCCAUUGGAUAUUCUUUCCUGCUUUGCCAAAGUUGGCCAUACAUUUGUGGGUCCAUUUCUGGGUUCUGUAUUCUGCUCCACUGAUCUAAGUGUCUGUUUUUGUGCCAGUACCAUACUGUCUUGAUGAUUACAGCUUUGUAAUACGGUUUGAAGUAUGGAAUUAUAAUGCCUCCAGCUUUGGUUUUCUUUUUCAGGAUUGCUUUGGCUAUUUGGGAUCUUUUCUGGUUCCAUACAAAUUUUAGGAUUAUGUGUUGUAGCUCUGUGAAGAAUGCUGGUGUCAUUUUGAUAGGGAUUGUAUUGAAUAUGUAGUUUGCUUUGGGUGGUAUUGACAUUUUAACAGUAUUUGUUCUUCAAAUCUAUGAGCAUGGAAUGUUUUUCUAAUUUUUUGUGUCUUCAAUUUCUUUCAUAAGCUUUCUAUAAUUUUCAGUGUAUAGAUUUUUCACUUCUUUGGUUAGGUUUAUUCCUAGGUAUUUUAUGGGUUUUGGUGCAAUAAAUGGGAUUGAUUCCUUGAUUUCUUUUUCUGCUGCUUCAUUAUUGGUGUAUGGAAAUGCAGCUGAUUUCUUUGCAUUGAUUUUAUAUUCUGCGACUUUGCUGAAUUCAUGGAUCAAUUCUAGCGGUUUUUUGGUGGACUCUUGGGUUUUACACAUAGAGUAUCAAGUCGUCCUCCAAGAGUGAAAGUUUGAUUUCCUCUUUGCCCAUUAGGAUGCUUUUUAUUUCUUUGUGUUGUCUCAUUGCUGAGGCUAUGACUUGCAACACUAUGUUGAAUAACAGUGGUGAGAAUGGACAUCCUUGUUGUGUUCCUGACCUUAGGGGGAAAGCUCUCAGUUUUUCCUCAUUGAGGAUGAUAUUACCUGUGGGUCUUUUGUAGUGGCCUCUAUGAUCUUGGGGCAUAAUCCUUUUAUUCCUACUUAAGGGUUAUCAAGAAAGGAUGCUGUAUUUUGUCAAAUGCUUUCUCUGCAUCUAUUGAGAGGAUCAUGUGGUUCUUAUCCUUUCUGUUAUUAACGUGAUAUAUCACACUGAUUUGCAGAUACGAACCAGACCUGAAUCCUAGGAAUAAAUCCCACUUGAUCCUGGUGAAUAAUUCUUUUAAUGUAUUGUUGGCUAGUUCUAGUUGGGAAUUUUUGCAUCCAUGUUCAUCAGGGAAAUUGGUCUGUAGUUCUCCUUUUUAGUGGAGUCUUUGUCAGGUUUUGGAAUCAAGGUAAUGCUGGCUGCAUAGACUGAAUUUGGAAGUUUUUGCUUCCAUUCUAUUUUUUGGAACAGCUUCAAAAGAAUAGGUGCUAACUCUUCUUUAAAUGUUUGGUAGAAUUCCCCUGGAAAGCCAUCUGGCCCUGGACUCUUGUUUGUUGGGAGAUUUUGAUUACUGAUUCAAUUUCUUUACUGAAUGUGGGUCUAUUCAAAUUUUCUACCUCCUAUCUCAGUUUUGGUAGUUUAUAUGUUUCUAGGAAUUUUUCUGUUUGUUCCCAAUUGCCAAAUGUGUUGGCAUAUAGUUGCUCAUAUUUUAUUAUUAUUGUUUGUAUUUCUGUGGUGUUGGUUGUGAUCACCCCUAUUUAAUUCUUGAUCUUAUUUAUUUGGGUCCUUUCCCUUUUCUUUUUGAUGAAACUGGCUAGGGGUUUAUGACUUUCGUUAAUUCUUUCAGAGAGCCAGCUCCUGGUUUCAUUGAUCUGUUCAACUGUUUUUGUUUUUUUUUUAAUAUACAUUACUGAUUUCUGCUUUAAUCUUCAUUAUUUGCCGUUUUCUGCUGAUUUUGGGCUUUAUUUUGCUGCUCUUUUUCCAGCUCUUUUAGGUGUAAGGUUAGGUUGUGUAUUUGAGACCUUUCUUCCUUCUUUAAGAAGACCUGAUUGCUAUAUACCUCCCUCUUAUGACCUCCUUUGCUGUGUCCCAGAGGUUUGGGGUUUUCAUGUUUUUGUUUUCAUUGGCUUCCAUGUACUUUUUCUUUUUUUUAAUUUGAUUUUUUAUUUCUUAAAAUUUACAUGCAAAUUAGUUAGCAUAUAGUGCAAUAAUGAUUUCGGGAGUAGACUCCUUAAUGCCCCUUACCCAUUUAGCCCAUCCCCCUUCUCACAAUCACUUGUGUAACCCUCAGUUUGUUCUUCAUAUUUAUGAGUCUCUUCUGUUUUGUCCCCCUCCCUGUUUUUAUAUUAUUUUUGUUUCCCUUCCCUUAUGUUCAUCUGUUUUGUCUCUUAAAGUCCUCAUAUGAGUUAAGUCAUAUGAUUUUUGUCUUUCUCUGACUAAUUUCACUUAGCAUAAUACCUUCCAGUUCCAUCCACGUAGUUGCAAAUGGCAAGAUUUCAUUCUUUUCGAUUGCCGAGUAAUACUCCAUUUAAUAUAUAUAUCACAUUUUCUUUAUCCAUUCAUCCAUCGAUGGACAUUUGGGCUCUUUGCAUACUUUGCGUAUUGUUGAUAGUACUGCUAUAAACAUGGGGGCUGCAUGUGGUAUCUCAUUGUGGUUCUGCUUUGUAUUUCCCUGAUGGUGAGUGAUGUUGAGCAUUUUUUCAUGUGUCCAUUGGCCAUCUGUGUCUUCCUUGGAGAAGUGUCUAUUCAUGUCUUUUGCACAUUUCUUCACUGAAUUAUUUGUUUUUUGGGUGUUGAGUUUGAUAAGGUCUUCAUAGAUGUUGGAUACUAAACCUUUAUCUCAUAUGUCAUUUGCAAAUAUCUUCUCCCAUUCUGUCAGUUACCUUUUAGUUUUGUUGAUUGUUCCCUUUGCUGUGCAGAAGCUUUUUAUUUUGACGAGGUCCCAGUAGUUCAUUUUUGCUUUUGUUCCCCUUGCCUCCGGAAACGUGUUGAGUAAGAAGUUGCUGUGGCCAAGAUCAAAGAUGAGGUCUUUCAUCCAUUUUGAGUUUAUUUUUGUGUAUGGUGUAAGAAAGUGGUCCAGGUUCAUUCUUCUGCAUGUUGCUGUCCAGUUUUCCCAACACCACUUGCUAAAGAGACUGUCUUUAUUCCAUUGGAUAGUCUUUCCUGCUUUGUCAAAGAUUAGUUGGCCAUACGUUUUUGGGUCCAUUUCUGGGUUCUCUAUUCUGUUUCAUUGAUCUGAGUGUCUGUUCUUUUGCCAGUACCAUACUGUCUUGAUGAUUACAGCUUUGUAGUAUAGCUUGAAGUCUGGGAUUGUGAUGCCUCCAGCUUUGGUUUUCUUUUUCAAGAUCGCUUUGGCUAUUCAGGGUCUUUUCUAGUUCCAUACAAAUUUUAGGAUUAUUUGUUGUAGCUCUGUGAAGAAUGCUGGUGUUAUUUUGAUAGGGAUUUCAUUGAAUAUGUAGAUUGCUUUGGGUAGUAUUGACAUGUUAACAGUAUUUGUUCUUCCUAUCCAGGAGCAGGGAAUCUUUUUCCAUUUUUGGGGGUAUUUUCUUUCAUAAGCUUUCUAUAAUUUUCAGCAUAUAGAUUUUUCACCUCUUUGGUUAGAUUUAUUCCUAGGUAUCUUAUGGUUUUUGGUGCAAUUGUAAAUGGGAUCGAUUCCUUGAUUUCUCUGUCGCUUCAUUGUUGGUGUAUAGGAAUGCACCUGGUUUCUGUGCAUUGAUUUUAUAUCCUGCAACUUUGCUGAAUUCAUGAAUCAAUUCUAACAGUUUUUUUUUGUGGAAUCUUUUGGGUAUUCCAUAUACAGUAUCAUGUCAUCUGCAAAGAGUGAAAGUUUGAUCUCCUUCUGCCCAAUUUGGAUGCCUUUUAUUUCUUUGUGUUGUCUGAUUGCAGAGGCUAAGACUUCCAAUCCUAUGUUGAAUAACAGUGGCAAGAGUGGACAUCCCUGUCUUGUUCCUGACGUUAGGGGGAAAGCUCUCAGUUUUUCCCCAUUGAGGAUGAUAUUAGCGUUGGGUCGUUCUUAUAUGGCUUUUAUGAUCUCGAUGUAUGCUCCUUCUAUCCCUACUUUCUUGAGGGUUUUUAUCAAGAAAGGAUGCUGUAUUUUGUCACAUGCUUUCUCUGCAUCUGUUGAGAGGAUCAUAUGGCUCUUGUCCUUUCUUUUAUUGGUGUGAUGAAUCAUGUUAAUUGUUUUGUGGAUAUUGAACCAACCCUGCAUCACGUAUAAAUCCCACUUGGUCGUGAUGAAUACGUUUUUAAUGUAUUGUUGGAUCCAGUUGGCUAAUAUCUUGUUGAGGAUUUUUGCAUCCAUGUUCAUCAGGGAAAUUGGUCUAAUAUAGUUCUCCUUCUUAGUGGGGUCUCUGUCUUGUUUUGGAAUGAACGUAAUGCUGGCUAUUCAUAGAAAGAGUUUGGAAGUUUUCCUUCCAUUUCUAUUUUUUGGAACAGCUUCAAGAGAAUAGGUGUUCGCUCUUCCUUAAAUGUUAGGUAGAAUUCCCCUGGAAAGCCAUCUGGCCCCGGACUCUUGUUUUCUGGCAGAUUUUUGGUUAUUACUUUGAUUUCCUUACUGGUUAUAGGUCUGUUCAAAUUUUUUAUUUCUUCCUGUUUCAGUUUUGGUGGUGUAUAUCUUUUAGGAAUUUUUCCAUUUCUUCCAGAUUGCCCAUUUUAUUGGCAUAUAAUUGCUCAUAAUAUUCUCUUAUUAUUGUUUUUAUUUCUGCUGUGUUGGUUGUGAUUUCUCCUGUUUCAUUCUUGACUUUAUUUAUUUGGGUCCUUUCCUUUUUCUUUUUGAUCAAACUGGCUAGUGGUUUAUCAAUUUUGUUAAUCCUUUGAAAAAACCAGCCUCUGGUUUCAUUGAUCUGUUCUGUUUUUUUUUUUUUUUGUUUUGUUU